rnacentral:rRNA from 1 species
AUUGAACGCUGGCGGCAUGCCUUACACAUGCAAGUCGAGCGGUAACGGGUCCUUCGGGAUGCCGACGAGUGGCGAACGGGUGAGUAAUAUAUCGGAACGUGCCCAGUAGUGGGGGAUAACUGCUCGAAAGAGCAGCUAAUACCGCAUACGACCUGAGGGUGAAAGGGGGGGAUCGCAAGACCUCUCGCUAUUGGAGCGGCCGAUAUCAGAUUAGCUAGUUGGUGGGGUAAAGGCCUACCAAGGCAACGAUCUGUAGUUGGGCUGAGAGGACGAACAGCCACACUGGGACUGGGACACGGCCCAGACUCCUACGGGAGGCAGCAGUGGGGAAUUUUGGACAAUGGGCGCAAGCCUGAUCCAGCAAUGCCGCGUGCAGGAAGAAGGCCUUCGGGUUGUAAACUGCUUUUGUCAGGGAAGAAAUCUUCUGGGCUAAUACCCCGGGAGGAUGACGGUACCUGAAGAAUAAGCACCGGCUAACUACGUGCCAGCAGCCGCGGUAA